rnacentral:rRNA from 1 species
UACGAAGGUCUCAAGCGUUGUUCGGAUUUACUGGGCGUAAAGGGCGCGUAGGCGGCGCAACAAGUCAGCUGUGAAAUCUCCGGGCUUAACCCGGAGCGGCCAGCUGAUACUGUCGUGCUAGAGUGCGGAAGGGGCUACUGGAAUUCUCGGUGUAGCGGUGAAAUGCGUAGAUAUCGAGAGGAACACCUGUGGCGAAGGCGGGUAGCUGGGCCGACACUGACGCUGAGGCGCGAAAGCUAGGGGAGCGAACGGG